AUGAACGCUAGCUACAGGCUUAACACAUGCAAGUCGAGGGGCAGCAUGGUCUUAGCUUGCUAAGACUGAUGGCGACCGGCGCACGGGUGAGUAACACGUAUCCAACCUGCCGUCUACUCUUGGACAGCCUUCUGAAAGGAAGAUUAAUACAAGAUGGCAUCAUGAGUCCGCAUGUUCACAUGAUUAAAGGUAUUCCGGUAGACGAUGGGGAUGCGUUCCAUUAGAUAGUAGGCGGGGUAACGGCCCACCUAGUCUUCGAUGGAUAGGGGUUCUGAGAGGAAGGUCCCCCACAUUGGAACUGAGACACGGUCCAAACUCCUACGGGAGGCAGCAGUGAGGAAUAUUGGUCAAUGGGCGAGAGCCUGAACCAGCCAAGUAGCGUGAAGGAUGACUGCCCUAUGGGUUGUAAACUUCUUUUAUAAAGGAAUAAAGUCGGGUAUGCAUACCCGUUUGCAUGUACUUUAUGAAUAAGGAUCGGCUAACUCCGUGCCAGCAGCCGCGGUAAUACGGAGGAUCCGAGCGUUAUCCGGAUUUAUUGGGUUUAAAGGGAGCGUAGAUGGAUGUUUAAGUCAGUUGUGAAAGUUUGCGGCUCAACCGUAAAAUUGCAGUUGAUACUGGAUAUCUUGAGUGCAGUUGAGGCAGGCGGAAUUCGUGGUGUAGCGGUGAAAUGCUUAGAUAUCACGAAGAACUCCGAUUGCGAAGGCAGCCUGCUAAGCUGCAACUGACAUUGAGGCUCGAAAGUGUGGGUAUCAAACAGGAUUAGAUACCCUGGUAGUCCACACGGUAAACGAUGAAUACUCGCUGUUUGCGAUAUACAGCAAGCGGCCAAGCGAAAGCGUUAAGUAUUCCACCUGGGGAGUACGCCGGCAACGGUGAAACUCAAAGGAAUUGACGGGGGCCCGCACAAGCGGAGGAACAUGUGGUUUAAUUCGAUGAUACGCGAGGAACCUUACCCGGGCUUAAAUUGCAGAUGAAUUACGGUGAAAGCCGUAAGCCGCAAGGCAUCUGUGAAGGUGCUGCAUGGUUGUCGUCAGCUCGUGCCGUGAGGUGUCGGCUUAAGUGCCAUAACGAGCGCAACCCUUGUUGUCAGUUACUAACAGGUUCCGCUGAGGACUCUGACAAGACUGCCAUCGUAAGAUGUGAGGAAGGUGGGGAUGACGUCAAAUCAGCACGGCCCUUACGUCCGGGGCUACACACGUGUUACAAUGGGGGGUACAGAGGGCCGCUACCACGCGAGUGGAUGCCAAUCCCCAAAACCUCUCUCAGUUCGGACUGGAGUCUGCAACCCGACUCCACGAAGCUGGAUUCGCUAGUAAUCGCGCAUCAGCCACGGCGCGGUGAAUACGUUCCCGGGCCUUGUACACACCGCCCGUCAAGCCAUGGGAGCCGGGGGUACCUGAAGUGCGUAACCGCGAGGAGCGCCCUAGGGUAAAACUGGUGACUGGGGC
rnacentral:rRNA from 1 species